CCGUGCCCAAGAGAUCGGGAUAACACCUGGAAACAGAUGCUAAUACCGGAUAACAACAGAUGAUGCCUAUCAACUGUUUAAAAGAUGGUUCUGCUAUCACUCUUGGAUGGACCUGCGGUGCAUUAGCUAGUUGGUAGGGUAACGGCCUACCAAGGCGAUGAUGCAUAGCCGAGUUGAGAGACUGAUCGGCCACAUUGGGACUGAGACACGGCCCAAACUCCUACGGGAGGCAGCAGGC
rnacentral:rRNA from 1 species